rnacentral:rRNA from 1 species
UACGAACCGUACAAACGUUAUUCGGAAUCACUGGGCUUAAAGGGUGCGUAGGCGGCCAUGUAAGUGAGGUGUGAAACCCCUCGGCUCAACCGAGGAACUGCGCUUCAUACUGCAUGGCUUGAGGGAGACAGGGGUAAGCGGAACUGAUGGUGGAGCGGUGAAAUGCGUUGAUAUCAUCAGGAACACCGGUGGCGAAAGCGGCUUACUGGGUCUCUUCUGACGCUGAGGUACGAAAGCUAGGGGAGCGAACGGG